rnacentral:rRNA from 1 species
CCUACGGGGGGCAGCAGUGAGGAAUAUUGGUCAAUGGGCGAGAGCCUGAACCAGCCAAGUCGCGUGAAGGAUGAAGGAUCUAUGGUUUGUAAACUUCUUUUAUAUGGGAAUAAAGUGAGGAACGUGUUCCUUUUUGUAUGUACCAUAUGAAUAAGCAUCGGCUAACUCCGUGCCAGCAGCCGCGGUAAUACGGAGGAUGCGAGCGUUAUCCGGAUUUAUUGGGUUUAAAGGGUGCGUAGGUGGUUAAUUAAGUCAGCGGUGAAAGUUUGUGGCUCAACCAUAAAAUUGCCGUUGAAACUGGUUGUCUUGAGUAUAUAUGAGGUAGGCGGAAUGCGUGGUGUAGCGGUGAAAUGCAUAGAUAUCACGCAGAACUCCGAUUGCGAAGGCAGCUUACUAAACUAUAACUGACACUGAAGCACGAAAGCGUGGGGAUCAAACAGGAUUAGAUACCCGGGUAGUC